AGAUAGACGCGCAUCUGUGAGCAGCAGAGGGGCUCAUAUUCAGGGGCUAACUCUGCCAGCUGUGUGGUGAGAGGGAGCUGCCACCGCUUGAUCUGUUCAUCUGUAAUGAGGGAGUCUUAGAAGCUUCACUCACCACAGUGAACUGUUGUAGGAGUUAAAGGGAGGCGUCUACAAAGCAUGCUGGGAACUGAAAAGGCCUUUCUGUAGAAUGAAGCAACAUUUUCAAAACUUACGAUUUAAGCCACAUUUCACUCUUGGGCAGAUGAAUUUGACUCUCUAUUUUUAAAGUUUGAAGAGACAGGAGACAUGCUGGGUGAACUUCAUCUGCGUCUCCCGCCAGAUGCUGUCUGCCACACAAACCAGCCAAAGAGGCCAUGCAGUGGGCCAAUUAAACAGCAGUCGACUGAAUAAAUGAGAAAUAAAUGACUGGCUGACGGGAGCAUGAAGGAGGAGGAGGAGGAGGCACACAUAGAAAUAAAUGACUGGCUGACGGGAGCAUGAAGGAGGAGGAGGAGGNNNNNNNNNNCAACCAGAAGAGGGAGCAGUUACAUCAACUCAUACUCCUGCUCCUGAGAAAGCCCUCGGGCUCAUAGAAGCGUUACCACUCCAACCUGAGGAGAGGAAAGAAAAUAAAGAAAACUAUCUAAGUGACUAUCAGCAACCUAUCUGCUCACAACUAUCAAGAUCACACUUGGACAGUCUCCCUCAGGACACUACAUUGUCACCUCCAGACAAGCCCUCCAUACAAGCUCAGGAUGUUCAGUGCCUCUUGCUGGCUACAAGGAGAGCAAGGCAGGUCCAGGUUUGCUUCAGUCUCUGUGGUAGUUUAAAUAUGCUUGGAGCAUGGGUAGUGGCACUAUUAGGAGGUGUGGCCUUGUUGGAGGAAGUGUGUCGCCGUGGAGGUGGGCUUAAUCAGGUUCUGCCCAAUGUGGAAAAGAGUCUCCUUCUGGCUGCCUGCAGGAGACAAUCUGAUCUUAGCAGCCUUCAGACCAAGAUGUAG
rnacentral:lncRNA from 1 species